AACGAACGCUGGCGGCAGGCUUAACACAUGCAAGUCGAGCGAGACCUUCGGGUCUAGCGGCGGACGGGUGAGUAACGCGUGGGAACGUGCCCUUCUCUACGGAAUAGCCCCGGGAAACUGGGAGUAAUACCGUAUACGCCUUUUGGGGGAAAGAUUUAUCGGAGAAGGAUCGGCCCGCGUUGGAUUAGGUAGUUGGUGGGGUAAUGGCCCACCAAGCCGACGAUCCAUAGCUGGUUUGAGAGGAUGAUCAGCCACACUGGGACUGAGACACGGCCCAGACUCCUACGGGAGGCAGCAGUGGGGAAUCUUAGACAAUGGGGGCAACCCCUGAUCUAGCCAUGCCGCGUGAGUGAAGAAGGCCUUAGGGUUGUAAAGCUUUUUCAGCUGG
rnacentral:rRNA from 1 species